rnacentral:rRNA from 1 species
CUACGGGAGGCAGCAGUGGGGAAUUUUGGACAAUGGGGGAAACCCUGAUCCAGCCAUCCCGCGUGUGCGAUGAAGGCCUUCGGGUUGUAAAGCACUUUUGGCAGGAAAGAAACGUCAUGGGUUAAUACCCUGUGAAACUGACGGUACCUGCAGAAUAAGCACCGGCUAACUACGUGCCAGCAGCCGCGGUAAUACGUAGGGUGCAAGCGUUAAUCGGAAUUACUGGGCGUAAAGCGUGCGCAGGCGGUUCGGAAAGAAAGAUGUGAAAUCCCAGAGCUUAACUUUGGAACUGCAUUUUUAACUACCGAGCUAGAGUGUGUCAGAGGGAGGUGGAAUUCCGCGUGUAGCAGUGAAAUGCGUAGAUAUGCGGAGGAACACCGAUGGCGAAGGCAGCCUCCUGGGAUAACACUGACGCUCAUGCACGAAAGCGUGGGGAGCAAACAGGAUUAGAUACCCUGGUAGUCCGCGCCCUAAACGAUGUCAACUAGCUGUUGGGGCCUUCGGGCCUUAGUAGCGCAGCUAACGCGUGAAGUUGACCGCCUGGGGAGUACGGUCGCAAGAUUAAAACUCAAAGGAAUUGACG